GAGGGAGGGAGGAGGGAGGACAAAUCAUACUUAGUACAUAAACACACCCACACUUUUUUUAUGACCAUUUUGCUACUGUUUUGUUAAACAAUGGAACCUAUUAAAUUUUGGGAUUUUCCUCCCAACUGUGAAAAAAAUAAACAAGCAGAAUUUUAUUUCAGUGUUUGUUUUGGCAUCAGGUUUAAUUAUUUUUCUUUUCUUUUGGUUAUAUCAGCUCGCCGCCUCUGGUCUGUCAGCGUUAGCCCCUCAUACAGGAGUACUAUGGGGUUCUGGUGGAGCACAUAUUAAAAAUAAUAAAAAAACAAGCAAUUUCACAAACACCAAAACCUGGAGGAGGUUUGGGAAGAAGAGCAGAGCCUGGAGAGAAUAAAUAGAAACAGAGCUACAAACCAGAUUAAGGAUCAAAGGACCCAACUUCUUCCUAAAACAUUCGACUUUAUAAAAUACCAUCCUGGGAGCAAAAUGACUCAUUCAAAUGGCAUACAGUGUGAGGAUGGAAGGGACAGGGAGGCUGCAGAGCAGCAAGAGGCCUACAUCAGCAGUCUGGCAGAUUUGAUUUGGAAAAUUCUGAUGAUAUAUAAGAAACUAGAGAUUAAUAUCAUCCCAUAGAAUCAUUCUUCCAUUCCUUCCUCCUGUACAGAGCACCUCCACCAUGAGAGAUGCUAUGCAAGACACGACCCAGUCAAUACAUCCUUUUGAGGAAUAUCAAUUAACAUUGUCCAGCAGUUCAAGAACCUCAAGGCUGACUAUCCUUCGCAAAGGAGGCCGAACAGCUCCUGUGUCUGGAGGGCAUGGCCUGAGGCAGCACCGACACCUGGGAACAAAGAGAACCAUCCAUGGAACUCUGGGCCUUGCCUCUGGAUGGAAGAUUAAACUGCCUUACAAGGAAAGUGCCCAGGGAGAUGUGCUGGGGCCCGGCGUACUGCACUUCUAGAACUAUUAUUUGAGUAUUGCAAAUACAAAACCUAAAGAGGAAAGUCAAAAAAAAUGCUGCCAUUAUCAUCAUCAUCUUCAUUAUUAUCACUAUUUUAAUUCUAAUAACCUAUAGGAUUUAUGAGAGCUGUUAAGUUUUAGAACUUAGGAAUAAGUGAAAGACAGGUAGAAUGAUACUUUUUCAGACUCAUUAUUAUAUGAAAAAUUUAGAGGCACCAAACAGCACUUAACUUAUAAACCCCCAGAUUUUAAGGACCAAGAAGAGACUACAGACUAAAUUUAUACUCAUCCAUCCUUGCAAAUAAAGAUCAGAUAUACACCAGCACUCAAAAUACAUAUAUUUUAAUUUUACAAAGAUAAUUCAAAUAAGUCAAAUUGUCAUUUGUCACUUUGCUAGUCUAACAAUGGCUGGCUCUUAAUAAA
rnacentral:lncRNA from 1 species